rnacentral:rRNA from 1 species
UACGUAGGGUGCGAGCGUUAAUCGGAAUUACUGGGCGUAAAGCGAGCGCAGACGGUUAUUUAAGCAGGAUGUGAAAUCCCCGAGCUCAACUUGGGAACUGCGUACUGAACUGGGUAACUAGAGUGUGUCAGAGGGGGGUAGAAUUCCACGUGUAGCAGUGAAAUGCGUAGAGAUGUGGAGGAAUACCGAUGGCGAAGGCAGCCCCCUGGGAUAACACUGACGUUCAUGCUCGAAAGCGUGGGUAGCAAACAGGAUUAGAUACCCUGGUAGUCCACGCCCUAAACGAUGUCAAUUAGCUGUUGGGGUGCUUGACACCUUAGUAGCGUAGCUAACGCGUGAAAUUGACCGCCUGGGGAGUACGGUCGCAAGAUUAAA